rnacentral:rRNA from 1 species
GCCCAGACUCCUACGGGAGGCAGCAGUGGGGAAUAUUGGGCAAUGGGCGCAAGCCUGACCCAGCAACGCCGCGUGAAGGAAGAAGGCUUUCGGGUUGUAAACUUCUUUUAUUCGGGACGAAGAAAGUGACGGUACCGAAUGAAUAAGCCACGGCUAACUACGUGCCAGCAGCCGCGGUAAUACGUAGGUGGCAAGCGUUAUCCGGAUUUAUUGGGUGUAAAGGGCGUGUAGGCGGGAAUGCAAGUCAGAUGUGAAAACUCAGGGCUCAACCCUGAGCCUGCAUUUGAAACUGUAUUUCUUGAGUGCUGGAGAGGCAAUCGGAAUUCCGUGUGUAGCGGUGAAAUGCGUAGAUAUUAGGAGGAACACCAGUGGCGAAGGCGGUCUGCUGGACAGCAACUGACGCUGAGGCGCGAAAGCGUGGAGAGCAAACAGGAUUAGAUACCCGUGUAAC